rnacentral:lncRNA from 10 species
CUAGCCUCCCAGCCCACAGAUUUCUCCCAUGCUGGAUGCUUCCUGCCCUUGAACAUUGGACUCCAAGUUCUUCAAUUCUGAGACUCAGACUGACUUCUUGCUCAAGUUUGCCAACAGCCAAGCAGCCUCAAGCUUACAGGCAGCAUUCCUCCCUCUGGAACCUUGUGAUUGUGAAUAUGGCUGGGACCAUCCCUGACUCUCUUUUUUCCUUGAAUGUGAACACAUGAGUGAAGCAUACAUCCAUUGUCCAUGGGGCAAGAAACAUGAGGAUGAAAAGCCAAUAUGUUAAGGACAUGAAGUGAAAAGCGGGAAGAGCUUCUUAUUCAUGUUAUCACUGAGCAGCGGGAACUGGGGGCUCUGCUCAUUAUAGUUGCCCACGGCCUCCAGUCAAUGAAAUUUCCGGCCAAUGAAAUGCUCUACUGUGACUGAAGCAGCAAAGAGAAGAUGUUCUGCCGGAGGCCUCUCCAGAUUGUGAUGCACUGGGAGCAAGCCACCAUGAACAUAUCCUCAGGUCUCCAGUCUUCUGCCAUCGCAUGAAAAAUGGAGCUUGUCAAACACAGAGCAGAGCUGAACUUUCUGAAUUCCACAGGACAGUUCAGAGUGCUUGGAAUGACACCCACCUGCAAUUUAAACAAAAAAGAAGGAUGAUUUGCUGCUACAUUUGUGUGGGAAGUGCUGCUUGCCGAUAGGGAAGUAGGAGAGGAAAUAAGGAAAACAAUAAACCAAGUACAGUUUUGCAAAUACCCAGACACAUUGGAUGGACACAGAAGCUUUCACUGGGAGAUUAUGAAGGGUAGAUGCUUUGUGUCUCCAUUGCCUCCUGUGAUGUGACCUCACAUUACAAGCCACUGUGGUUGGAACUGCUGGCAAAAUGGAAAGAACCAGGAAGAACAUCAAAGGAGAGUUUUAAAAGGAUAUGAAAUGUAUUAAUUUGUCGUAAUUAUCUACUUUUGAUAGAAGAAUCUCAGAGGUACUUAAGUUGAUGUCUUGGACCUUCAGUCCAGUGCUGACAUCUUGUAAAAUGUCUUAAGUUCCUACCAGGUAAUUUCUGCUUUCUGUCACAAAGCAGGAGAGAAGUUCCAGGAGGAAGUCAUGUAUUUUUCUCAUCUUUAGGUAUAUUAUAUGUAUACCCCAUAUUUCCCUAUAUUAUACUUACACAUAUAUUUAUGUUACACUUUCUAUUUCUCUUAUUUACGUACAUUAUUAACAAAAAAUUUUUGGAAGAUUGUAGAAAUAAGACAUGUAGGCAUUUGAAAUUUUGUGAGAAAGAGCAUGUCAGAUUUGGGAGUUAGGGAUUUUUAGACAUUGCCAUAAGAGGUAAGUAAAUGCUGACACCUUGCCUAUAGUUAAUAAAAAUAUAUUAUACAUUUGAAGUUUUCUAAGAGAGUAGAUUUAAAAUUUUCUCACUAUACACACACACAAUAUAUAUAUAACUAUGUUAGGUGAUUAACGUUAAUUAGCUUGAUUAUGGUAAUCAUUUCACAACAUAGACAUAUAUCAAAACAUCACAUUGUAUGCUUUGAAUACAUACCAUUUUUAUUUGUCAACCAUUCCCCAAUAAAGCUGGAAAAAACAAGACUUCAUUCCUGUCAAAUCUACUUCUCAGGGACCUACUCCAAGGGAGUCGCCAUUCCUUCAUUUUAUUAUUAAAUUGCUUCUUCAUAGAAAACCUAUCUUCGGUGAAAAAAUUAGACUCCAGAAAUGAUAUUUUGCCAGAAACAUCUCUAAAAGCCUUUUUAUCUCCCUGAUGAACUCAAUGUAGCUAUGGAAAUUUGAAUUCCCUAUCUGGGGUCAGCUUCAGAAAUGUGUUUAUUUAUGUGCUUCGAAUUGACUUAUCAACUAAUGAACCAAGAAACAAUUUUUCUUUUGGCUGUGUUUUAAAAGGGUCUUGCUCAAAUUUUAAAGGUUGGGGCAUUUUAGAGUCAGAUUUGUUUCAUAAUUUUUCUAUGUAACAUAUUCACUUCCCAUUAAAAUGUAAUUUUCCCUACCAAUAAGGUGUUAGGCUUCUGAUCCCUCAGGGGAACUGUGGUUGACAUGAGCAUUACCUCAUCCAAAUGUAUGUUCCCAGUGAACCUGUCAUCGAGUGGACUUGAUGCCUUCAUUUUUUCCUUUUGUAGCAAGAUGCCUAACUGGUUACUUAUGCAAGCAUUGUUAUUGAAAUUAGGGGGAGUAAGGGGAAUAAAAAAUGUAUGGAAAUUAUGAGUGUUAGAACUGAGCACAAUCAUUGCAGCAUCUGAUGCAGACAUUUCAGGGUAAGCGAAGUAGUCUCUUCAGAAUAAAAAUGAGGGUAAUUAGACUCAAUUCAUUUAUUCAACACUUGGGUCAAGUCCAUGAACUCUACAAAGAUAACUGUGCCAUGGAUUUUGCUCUCUAGAGUGGUAAGACACGUAUAUGGUUUGUCUACUCAUUCAGCAAACACUUUCUGGGCAUGUUUUGUCUCCUGAGGUCAGCUCUGGAGAUACAAUGGUACAUGGCACAAAUCUUUGCAAGUGCUAAAUAUAAUACCUGAUAUUAAUAGGCUGUGAGUGAAGAGCACAAAAUGUGUAGUGGGUGUUCCUGGGAUACAGUAGCUCUGUGCAUGUAGAAGGGAUUAGUAAGGGCCUCGUGAAGGAGACAGCAUUUGUUCUGGGACUUGAAGGAAAGACAGGAUUGGAAAUGUAGAGAUGCUAAGGAAGGUUGUCCUCAAUAGAGAAAAUGCCAUAGCUGAAGGCCCCUCAUAUGCUAUUCUUAUCUAACUAUGUGAUUCUAAGCUCAGGUGAUCCAAAGAGGCUCCUCAGAGUUGUGGCAAACUGAAGCCAGUGGUGUAGGUUGAAAGGAAUCUGAGAGAAGAUCAACACCCAGGAGAAUCUAAGGUCCCAUUGUGGGUGAAUCAUUUUGGGCCAUGUUUCAGAACAAAAUUUCCACAGACUCACUACCAAAUACUCAUGGACUUAUAUUUUUGGUUCAGAGGUUUGAUGAAAAACUCUGGAAGCCUAUUGCAGAGAACUGAAUAAGGUAAAAAUCUACCUUUUACUGGACACAUCGUUUAGGAAGCAAAUUAGUCUCCGUUAUCAGAAAGUUCCAAGGGGGAAUCUAAAAUGUGAUACUUUGCUCAGCAGCUGACAGUAUUUUUGCUACAUUUUCAACUUGCCUUCAAUUCUGUUUAUUUCGCUUGUCUAAUUUACUAUCUAGGUAAUUUAAACAAUGAGAAUACAGUGACCCGCAAUUUUCCUAAUUUAAAGGUAUCUCUUCUGCAAUAUUAAAUUUGCAUCUACAUUGCCUGCCUAACAAGACUGUCACCUCCUUGAGGUCAAUGUGAUGUUAUCUAAUUUUUUAGAUAACAUCUAUGUCUCUAAUAGAUCUAUCUGUGCAAUAGAACCAUACAGUCCUUCGUAGAUAGGGGAAGCACAAAUGUUGGUUAAUAUUUAACAGAGUAUCAGACCUGCAUCCUUCUCUCUAAGAGCUCAAACUUCAGAGAGUAGAUUCAGAGAGUAAAUGUUUUCCCAGGCUCAGGCAAGAGGGGUGGUUUGUAUGUUAUUUCUUUCUUAUUUUCCAGUUAGACUUUUGGAAAUCUGCCAGAUGCAAUUGAAAAACCCUGCUCAGCUUUGUCCAAUGUCUCAUUUGAGGAUCAGCAUGAGUUUGUUUACUUGAGAUUAACAGGAGUCAAGGAUAUACAAAUUCAGCAAUGUAUGGAUAACUUUCCCCUUUUUAACGCUGGCCUCACCACAAAACUACCACCAUAUUGUUGAAUUUUGGAAGUUUAUUAUGCUUUAUUUUUUCCUAUAAAAAAAUAAAUGUCAUCACAUUGUAAUAGUUUUAUAACCUGUUUUAUCAUAUUUUAAAAUACAUCUUGAAUAUUCUUUCAUAUAAUUAAUCUUCUACAGCAUAAUUUUAAUAUCUAUGAAGAUUCCAUUAUGUGCUUGUAUUAUACAUUUUUACUCUGAAUACAUUAUUGUUGUAAACAAUGCUUACAAUUAUGAAAAUAAAUAUAUAUGGCUCAUUUACACAUUAUUCUAAAUCUCAUUGUACUCUCCGGUUAGUCAUCAUUAAUGUCUUGAAGUUCACUGGUUUGGCAUUUUAUGUAUAUUUAUAUCUGU